UAUGCGGGGCGAUAGUUUAAUAAAAAUAUUGGUAUUGGAAGCCAAAGAUUGGAGCUAACUUCCAUCCUCCGA
rnacentral:tRNA from 1 species